rnacentral:rRNA from 1 species
CCCGCUGAACUUAAGCAUAUCAAUAAGCGGAGGAACGAUUUUUCCA